rnacentral:lncRNA from 1 species
GCAAGCAUCGUUCCACCUGCACACACUACACAUUUUUCUAACACUUUUGCAGGCAGUUCUUCCUCAUCAAGAUAGAGUACCGUCGAUGAUGUGUUCUAUGAAAUGCGCGCUCUAAAUGCUAUCAACNNNNNNNNNNNNNNNNNNNNNUUUAUGCGAUGCAUCAGCAACAAGAGGAGAUGUUGGAACGAAUGGAAUUCAUGCAAGCCCAAUAAGCACAAAUUCUUCAAAGCCAACAUCAAAUGCAGGGCUAUCACAACCAAUGAGAGAGCUCAGAAGAGCACCGUCAACAGCAGCUCAACAAUGUCAUACAAGAGCUAGGCGGUUUAAGGCUUCAGUUCAAUAAUUUCCAAAAUUAUCAACAACCUCCCUCAUGAUAUAUCACAUGUUUUACGCUCCAAUUCUACUCUUGAGUCACAACAGUGAGGACACUGUUGAAUUUAAGUUUAGGGGAGUAUUCUACUAUCUUUAUUUACUUUUAGUUUAGUUAUUUGAAUUUUUAUUAGUUUAUUUUUCCUUUCGCAUAAUAAAAAAAUUGAAUUUAUAGUAUAUUCUUUGGUUUUCUAAAUUUUUCCUUUUCUUGAGCCAAAUUAAAAUUUUUUUCCAAAGACUUAGGAUAAUAGCUCACUUAGAAAGUAUAUAGGUUAAGAAAAGAGGAGAGGCUAAGUUAAGGAAAUUAGGGAAUUUUACAACAAAAUCGGUAUUUUUCCA